UACGUAGGGUGCAAGCGUUAAUCGGAAUACUGGGCGUAAAGCGUGCGCAGGCGGUUAUGUAAGACAGUUGUGAAAUCCCCGGGCUCAACCUGGGAACUGCAUCUGUGACUGCAUAGCUAGAGUACGGUAGAGGGGGAUGGAAUUCCGCGUGUAGCAGUGAAAUGCGUAGAUAUGCGGAGGAACACCGAUGGCGAAGGCAAUCCCCCUGGGCCUGCACUGACGCUCAUGCACGAAAGCGUGGGGAGCAAACAGG
rnacentral:rRNA from 1 species